ACCAGGUGGUGAAGGAGUAUCUC
rnacentral:siRNA from 1 species